UAGAGUUUGAUCCUGGCUCAGAACGAACGCUGGCGGCGUGCCUAACACAUGCAAGUCGAACGAGAAAUCGGGCACUCAGGCAACUGAGUGCCGGAGAGUAAAGUGGCGCACGGGUGAGUAACACGUGGGUAACCUACCCCCGAAUCUGGGAUAACCUCGCGAAAGCGUUGCUAAUACCGGAUAUUGUCCUAUUGGUUGUGACCUUUGGGAUGAAAGGCAACCUCUUCAUGAAAGUUGUCGUUCAGGGAUGGGCCCGCGUACCAUUAGCUUGUUGGUGGGGUAACGGCUCACCAAGGCUACGAUGGUUAGCUGGUCUGAGAGGAUGAUCAGCCACACUGGAACUGAAACACGGUCCAGACUCCUACGGGAGGCAGCAGUGAGGAAUUUUGCGCAAUGGGGGAAACCCUGACGCAGCAACGCCGCGUGAGUGAAGAAGGCUUUCGGGUCGUAAAGCUCUGUCAAGUGGGAAAAAAGUCUGAUGAUUAAUAGUUGUCAGAUCUGAUGGUACCACUGAAGGAAGCACCGGCUAACUCCGUGCCAGCAGCCGCGGUAAUACGGAGGGUGCAAGCGUUGUUCGGAAUUACUGGGCGUAAAGGGCGUGCAGGCGGGUUGGUAAGUCAGAUGUGAAAGCCCUGGGCUCAACCCAGGAAGUGCAUUUGAAACUGCCAUCCUAGAGUAUGGGAGAGGGAAGUGGAA
rnacentral:rRNA from 1 species